rnacentral:lncRNA from 1 species
GGGUUUGCUGAUUUAUAGUUUAAGAAACUGAGGCAGCAGGAUUCAUGCUGGGCAUUCUGUGUUCUGGGUUCCAGUGUUUAAUGGCUAUACCAUCAAGGGCACGGAGCCAGUCUUGGUAGAUGUGAAUGAUGCUUGGAUCUGUCAAGAUGCUAGUAGUGAUUGGUGUAUGUCCUCACAACUCAGUUCCCCCUAAAACCAGCUACUGGAGUAUAAGUGUGAAGACUCAUGGUUUGAUAGCAAUGCUUAUCAAAAAGGGGGCAAGAUGGCCUGUAAUCCCAGCACUUCGGGAGGCCGAGGUGGGCAGAUCACGAGGUCAGGAGAUCGAGACCAUCCUGGCUAACAUGGUGAAACCCUGCCUCUACUAAAAAUACAAAAAUUAGCCAGGCAUGGUGGCGGGGCCCCUGUAGUCCCAGCUACUGGGGAGGCUGAGGCAGGAGAAUGGCGUGAACCCGGGAGGCGGAGCUUGCAGUGAGCCGAGAUCGCGCCACCGCAUUCCAGCCUGGGUGACAGAGCAAGACUCCACCUCUAAAAUAAAAUAAAAAACAAAAAGGGGGCAAGAUGUGCUCCCUGUGGGUCAAGAGUGUCCCAGACAGCUUUCGGGAAGGGUGACACGUGUGUUGCUCUAUUUGGCCCUGGUCAGCCUCAUCUGGAGUGUUGUAUUCAGUACUAAGCAUUACAAUUUCAGGUGGUCAUAGAUUCACUCUGUAGUUUUCUGUAAAGCACACAGGAGCUCUUUGGCCAAGUUUCAGCUCCACCAAAGUCAGCGAUGAGACCGUGGACAAAGUGCCUCAUGUCCCUGAGCCCAUUUCUUCAUUCGUAGAAGAAUCCAGUAGUUGUUCAGGAUGGUUUUGAAGACCCAGUCACAUUGGAUGUGAUCUGUAUAAAAGUGCUUUAUGUGGUGGUCAUGUUUUAUUUGUUUCAUAUUUCAGAAGACGGGAAGGUGGGUCUCACAACCAUGGCUGGUUUGGAGGCAUGUACAAGAACCUGGGCUCUUCACUCAGGAAAAGAGAAAUCUAGGGAAACAUGGUAGCUGCCUCUAGUAGAACUGCAAUAUGAAACAGGUCUUCAGAGGCUUCCAGGGUGAGGGGAAGCCAUGCAGGGCUCCUCCCCACCUCCCCACUUCUGCUCAUUGCUCUGCGCUUGUCCAGAGACAAGAGAUGUCGACUAAAGUCUAUGCAGGGAAGCUACUUACACCCUCCUAGGUCCAAAAGCUGCCUGCUGCCUCUGGAGUGUUAGAGCAGAAAGUGGGCAGGCAUGGGCAGGGCCAUUGCUGCGGGAAGUUAAGAGGCACCAGAGGACAGUUCUUCCAACUUAAGACGGUUUUUGUGAAGUGAAAGCAGACUGCAGGCCUCCAGCACUGGCGCAGACUCUGACUGGUGCAGGCCUCUAACACUGGCAUGGAUUUAGCAGAUAAGAAAGAUGGGUCUUCUUACAAAUACUGGUCGCUAGUGAGUUGGGCCUUGAGAGACAGAGAAAACAGGUAUCUGCCUAAGGUGUGUCUCUGGUUAACUAUAUUGGCCCUUGAGGUAAUCUACAGUUAAAGGAGUUUUAGUUCCUCUAACAUUUUAAGAAAUUAUUCCCAUGUUUGAGUGCCACAUUUAUAGUACCAAAUUUUGGGGCCAGGGUGGGAAGAUUGCCCUGAGCAAAGCUGUCCAUUUUCGCAUCAUCCAGUUGGUUUUCAUGGAGCGGCCCACCUGCUCCCCACCUCAGGAGAUACUGGAGGACUCUAGCCCUGCAGUGGCUGUGGUCAGGCCAAGGGUAGGCAGGCUUCCUUCCUAGGCUUCAGUUCAUUCCCCCAUCUUGCUGCCAAGGUACCUUUAGAUGUUUUGGUCCCCUAAAGCAUUUAAACAGACUGACGUGUAAAAUGCUGUCUGAACAAAGUCUCCCAUGAACCCACAGCACAGUGUGUACCUGAACCUCCCGAGAGAAAUAGUAAAAUCACCACAUCAUCAAGUUGCAGCUCAGGGACUACGUAGGUUUAGUGGUGAUGUUUGCAGGAAAAGGUUUCAGAGAAAUUUGAAAAUUGGCAGGUGCACUUUCUUGACCUUUCCAAAAAUAGUCUGAGUCACUUUCACUUUCAGCCUUCAAACUAUGUUGAAUGAAACCUUUGUGCAGUUUACAGAAAGUGAAGAACUGUUUGGCAAGAGAGAGAAGUUCGAGCUCCUAAUAGCCUCGGCUGCAUUGAGUAACAUUUCUUUUGAGUUGUCUAUUAACACUUUCCUGAAACAUGCUUUUUAUGAUGCCUAGAACUUGUAUAAGAGUGACUGUAAUUUGAGUUCUUUAAAAAUGUAAAUACAAGAAAUGUGUCACAUGCCAUAAGAGCUAGGAAAUGAUAGCUCACAUUCAUCUUAGUGGAAGGAAACUCUAAUUAUUGGAAGAUUUGAUUGGAAUAUUUGUUCUUAAUACCUACGGGUGGCUCUGUCGUAUGCUUGCCUAACACCAGUAUUGGCAUGCAAAUAACACUGAAAAGCUCCUUUCUUUUCCUCUGGUCUUUGUGGGAAGGCAUGGUAUGAGUCGAGAUUGCUAAACCACUCUUCUGAGAGGACUCAGAGAGAGUGUUUAUCCUAGACUAUCCAUGGCCCUGGUACUUCUGAGUUCAGUUAUGGUGUGAUCUCAUUAGUCCAGGCUCAGAAUGGCUCGGUAACCUCAAAACUCCAAGCCCUCGGUGCUUGCUUUGCUUCCCUAGACUUGCAGCUUAUGUACGCCCACAUGUGCUUCAUGUGUAUUAAAAAUGCUUGCAUGUGUAGAUAGGAAGAUAUAUGUUGACUGUCCUGAAAAACUUGACAUACCUAACAUUUAAAAUUGUUUUGAGUUUCCCCUGGGGAUAAACUAGUCUUCAAAUUUAAACAUGAUGAGCAGCGUAGGGGUUAUGGUACCAGAGAAAAGAGCCGAAUCUCGGCCCUGGCCCAGCCCUACCUCUCAUGCUCUGUCACCUGCAGCAGAGGUGGAGUGGGGGCCAUGUCUGUGAGCGGGACCUCAUCUUGUCUAUUCCUCAGACCCACCCAAGGGCAGGGAUUCCCAAAACUGCUGGUACCUGUAAGAGGUAUUGUAUUCUUGGACUCCAUUCCAUAGCCUCUCAUCAGGAUUCUGGGUUUGGAACUCUAGAAUCAAUGUUGAGGAAAAAGACAACUUGGUGAUUUUAUUUUUCUAGAUAUAAUUCACAUACCAUAAAAGCCACUCUUUAAAUUGUACAAUUCAGUGGUUUUUUAGUAUAUUCAGAGUUGUAUAACCAUGACCACUAGCUAAUUCAGAAUAUUUUCAUUGCCUCCCAACAAGCCUAGUACUCAUGAGUAGUCAGUCACUCCCUUGCCCAUUCCCUCCACCCCCAAGCCCCUGGCAACCACUAAUCUACUUUCUGUCUCUAUGGAUUUGCCUAUUUGAGACAUUCAUAUGAAUGGAGUUACAUAAUAUGUAGACUUUUGUAUCUGUUUUUUUUCAUUUAGCAUAAAAAUUUUCAAGAUUUGUCCACAGUGUAGUGUGUCUCAGUACUUCUUUCCUUUUUAUCACUGAAAAUAUUUCAUUGUAUGUAUAUGUCACAUUUUGUUAUCUACUCAUCAAUUGAUGAAUAUUUGUAUUGUUUCCACUUUGGCUGUUACAAAUAAUGCUGUUAUGAACAUGUGUGUACAAGUAUUUGUGUGGGUAUAUGUUAUUUCUCUUGGGCAUACCUACAAAUGGAAUUACUGGAUCAUAUGACAACUUUAUGUUUAACUUUUUGAAAAACUACAAAACUAACGAGUUGUACCAUUUUCUAAUCCCACCAGCAAUGAAUAGGGUUCUAAUUUUUCCACAUCUUCAUCAACAUUUGUUAUUGAUCUUUUUGAUUAUAACCAAUUUAGUAAGUGUGAACUGGUAUCUUAUUGUGAUUGUGAUUUUGAUUUGCAGUUCCCUAAUGAUGUUGAACAGAUGUUCAUAUGCUUGUUGGCCAUUUAUAUAGUCUUUAGAGAUAUAUCUAUUUUGCCCAUUUCUAACUGAGCAAAACAGACAAAAAUUGAGUUGUAAAUGUUCUUUAUGUAUACUGUAUACAAGCCCCUUAACAGAUAUAUGAUUUGCAAAUCUUUUCUAUUCUGUAGGUUGUUUCUCCAUGUUCUCGUUGGUAUGCUUGGAAGCAUAAAAGUUUUUAUUCUGGUGGAGUCCA